CCCGGCUGUUCGGGGCCGCACUCUUGUCAAGAGUGUUGGUCCCGAUCGGUUGGCCUUGCCUCUCAUUGUAAUAAACUUUGUUGUGACUGUCACUGGUGCCUGUAGCAUUCUGUUUCAGGAGUCGUGAAUGCAAUACAGGGACCUGAGACAACAAGGAGGAAAGCGAAAGCAGAUCGCAUGGCGUCUAAUUCAGAUUAUUCCCGAGAGGCCUGGCAUUCAUUCCUUCAAGAAACACCUAUGGCUAUUUUGGAAGUGCAAAGGGAAACAAGGAGACCUUCAGUGGCUCCUUUAAGAGAUAUGGGCCCACCUCCUAACGAGGUGCAGGAACACCACCAGGUUAUCCCACAAACCAUUUUGCAAUCCCCUGAAGGAAGAAUUCAUUCUGAUCUUUGGAAGUUAUAUGCUGCCUUUGAUAAAAUGUAUACUGAUGACAGCUUUAGUUUUCCAGAUUAUUAUCUUUCUCCAGUCCUACAAUUGCGUGCCUGUGUUCCUCCUCCCUACUAUUUGAUUGUUGGAGAUGGAGCCAUUACUCCAGUGAAAGAAGAUGGUCAUCAGUUAUACCGGCUGACUUGUCCUGCUUGUGUUUUGACCACUUGUCUACUAGUAGAGGGGCCCUCUAGAAGUGAAAUGAAGGUUUAUCUGGUCUUACAACCUCCCUAUUGGAUGUUGCCAGUAAAUGUUACAGGACCUUGGUAUCCUAAUUAUGGGAUUCAAUUGGCCUUAGAAAUCAGUAAACGGCUGCACAGGACCAGACGGUUUCUUGGACUCUUGAUUGCUGGACUCAUAGCAACAGUGACUGUAAUUGCCUCUGCAACUGUAUCUGUGAUAUCCUUACAUGAAAGUGCCCAAACGGCAUCCCAUGUAAAUGAAUUGGCUCAUAAUAUAUCCAAGGUGCUUGCCACUCAAGAGUGAAUAGACCGUAAACUGGAAGCCCAGUUGCAGGCACUACAAGAAGCAUUGAUGUAUCUUGGUGAUCAGUUUGCUGUUUUGCGUACCAGACUUUCUUUAAUUUGUCAUGAUGCAUAUAAACAUAUCUGUGUUA